rnacentral:lncRNA from 1 species
CACCUAUGGCAUAUGGAAGUUCUAAUCAGAGGGGUCGAUUCAGAGCUGUAGCUGCCAGCCCACAGCUACCACAGCCACAGCAACGUGGGAUCCUUAACCUACUGAGUGAGGCCAGGGUUGGAACCCACAUCCUUCAUGGAUACUAGUCGAGUUCAUUACCACUGAGCCACAAUGGGAACUCUGAAAAUGUUAUAAAAUGUUACAAUAAACUAUUUUAUCCAACUUUAGAAAAUAGGUCAACUCUAGAUAAUCCUAUGGUGGCGAAAAUGGUAUUUAUACUAAAAAAGAUGUUGAUGAAUUCAAAUACAUCUCAUAACAGUGAGAUAAGUAACAUUUAAUACAUAUAGAAUAUAUGUAUGUAUUUGUCUUUUUGUCUCUUUCGGGCCGCACCUGCGGAAUAUGGAGGUUCCCAGGCUGGGGUCUAACUGGAGCUGUAGCCACUGGCCUACACCACAGCCACAGCAACCCACUAUCCCAGCCACCUCUGUGACCUACACCACAGCUCAAGGCAACGCUGGAUCCUUAACUCACUGAGUGAGACCAGGGAUCAAACCAGCAUUCUCAUGGAUGUUAGUCGGGUUCUGACCUUGGAAAAGUCACCUAAACUCUAAGAGCCUUAGUUUCCUCAUCUCAAAAAUGUGGAUCAUAAUCCAUAUUUUAUUAGGUUUGUUAGGAACUAAAUGAUGUAAAGUGUUUAUCAGGAUAUUCGGCACAUAUAAAUUUCUAACAAAUGAGUAGUUGAAAUAAACAUCGAUGCAUAGUAACAUAAUCAGCCCCUGUCUGUAAUUAAUUGGUUUCAUUAACAGUAGUAUACUUUGGGAUGUAAUCAAAGAGUUAAGUUAAAUUCUAUACAGUUUAAUAUAAUAGAACAAUUCCUACCCAGUUUACAAUGGCACAUCUGUGACUUAAGAAUGGCCUGAGACACAACCUAAUUUAGACAACCACCUCAGCUAUAUGGCCAGAUUUUAUUGGAGAAAGAAUAGUCUUUCCAAGACCACUGUAUUUAUUAAGAGGCUCUUUAUCUGUUUGCCUAACUUUGCACAUUUGUCUAACCAACAAAUUCCUCAGAUUAAGCAAGAACCACCAGCAAGGAGCCUGAGUGGCCAUGGAGCAUCAGGAGCAUCAGGACAGGUAACAUCUCAGAAUAAAUUUAAUCAUGUUUUAGACACAAUUCAAAGAAGAAUACUCAUCUAAAUUUUCAGCACACAGAAGCCUGGAAGAUGUAAAUUUAAAGGCAGAAAAAGCUUUUUGAAAUUUAUGAGUAUGGUGACACAACAACAGAUUAUCCAUUGAUGACAAAAGAAUAGAAUUGCUCAAAAUCCAAGUAACUUAAACGGGUGGUAGGUUGGAGGUAUUUGGUGUCAGGACAGUAGUUAAAUUUUCAUAUAAAUUUAAAAUUAAAAUUUAAAAUUUUUGGAAAUUAAAGGAGCAAAUUUUAAAUUUUUGGAAAUUAAAGGAGCAAAUUUUAGUAAUCUGGAACAUUUUCUGCUUUUUAAUAAAGAAACUGAGUGAAUUAUUGAUCACAUUUUUUUUUUUUUUUAAUGCCGUGCCACACUCAGCAUCACUCAUUAAGUCUCAGGCAUGUAUGCAGCUCCAACUGUACAGAAGGUUGUUAUUCCUCACUGAUUUUGCAUUUUCUCAGGAAAACUGAAGGUUAAGUUCCCUUCCUGGGAUGUCCUGGUCAAUAAGUGGGAAAAGGACCAGCUACCUAGUCUCACUGGUGAAGACUUUGAAAAACCAUCUCAAAUAGAAUUGUCUGAGGCCCUUUUGGAACUGCAGCACUACCCAGUUUCUCCAACUGUCUAGUUUUGAUUUUUGUCUUUUCCUCUAAAAAUGAUUUUAAAAAAAAUCCUGAGUACCAAUCCUCAUCUGUUAGGAAGAUGACCUAUUACACAAUGACAAAAGACAUUGAGAAAUGCUUCCUCACUCACCUUUUUCUAAAAUUUUACAGGUGAGACUGGUGCUUGAAGACAAACACACAGUAGGAAGAUAAUUUUCACAAAUUCCCACCACCAGUUUCAUCCACUUCUUAUAAUUACGGAGAAAAGGAAGGUGUUAAUGGGACCAGAACUAAAACACAUCAUUAUGUCUCCCCUAUGAUUCCACUCUUCCUCCUUCUGCUUCCACCCUAUUCCUUCCCCUUACAGAUUCUCUGAUGUUCUCUUAAAGUCACAUGAUUAUACUUUUGUCCCAGCCACCCCAUCAAAGUUGCUGUUAUAAAGGUUCCCCUAGAACAUUCAUGCUGCCAAAUCCAAUAGAAAGUUCUCAGACUUCAUUUCACAUGACUUAUCAAUAGCCUAAGAUAUCCACAUUCCUUUUCUUAUAACACUUCUUCCUCUUGCUUUCAGAGCACCAGAUAUUCUUGGCUUUCCUUAUACCACAGUCCCACUACACCAUUGUUUCCCAGUUUAUUCAUCUGAUUCCUCAUCAUCAUCUAAAUGAAGUGUGGCCCAAGGCUUAGUCUUUGAACCUCUCCUGUUUUCUGUGUGAAUUCACUCCUUUGAUUUCUGCCUCCAGUCUCAUGCACAGAUGACACAUAUUUUGUAUUUUCAGUAGAGU